AAAAAUAAAAAAAUGGACAUCAACGACAAAAACAUGAUAGUCGCUGGAUUCACCAUUUUUGUGUGUGUUUGUGUAUUUAC
rnacentral:ribozyme from 12 species